rnacentral:tRNA from 1 species
GCGAGGAUGGCGGAAUUGGUAGACGCGCCAGAUUUAGGAUCUGGUGGGCUUACGCCUGUGGGGGUUCAAAUCCCCCUCCUCGUACCA